rnacentral:rRNA from 1 species
UACGGAGGGUGCAAGCGUUAUCCGGAUUCACUGGGUUUAAAGGGUGCGUAGGAGGGCAGGUAAGUCAGUGGUGAAAUCUUUGGGCUUAACCCGAAAACUGCCAUUGAUACUAUCUGUCUUGGAUGCGGUGGAGGUGAGCGGAAUAUGUCAUGUAGCGGUGAAAUGCUUAGAUAUGACAUAGAACACCGAUUGCGAAGGCAGCUCGCUACACCUGCAUUGACUCUGAGGCACGAAAGCGUGGGGAUCAAACAGG